AGGGAAAGGAUGCAGCAGAUCCAAACAAGGCUAAAAAUGGGUCAGAGAAAGAAAGUACAACAGUCCCUGUAACUAAUUAUGUAACAGGACAUGGGUUGAAGUAUUACAGUCAGGUAAGGCAGAAGAAAUACAGUAACUACCUCACGGACAGAAAACGCUCUUGACUGAAAUGCUGCUGCACUCCCUGUGCACCUUACCUCUUUUUCCAUAUCAGAACAAGGACUGAGUGUGCUGUCUUCCUUUGGUAGGGAAUCCAGGCAUGCGGGCAGGGUCUGGCUCUCUGGGAGGCUGGCACCACAAGGCACACGGCAGGGCUUGCAGAGCAGCCUGCAUGCAGCUGAAGAGGCAGCAAGAUGCAAAGGUGGAGGGACUGCUGGCUUCUCAAAUGUGAGAUGGACUCAGAGCAUUUGAAGCAGAGGACAGCAGAUGCUGUAAGAAAUGAAGACCCGUUUGGCUGCCUUGGGGUAGGAGCAAGCAGUGGAAGGAGGAAUGGUAUGGGCAGUCCUGUCAGAAUGAUUACUGACAAAGGAUAUUUAGACAGACAGGUUGACUUUAAGGAUGAGUCAUUCAUAUACAAAUGCUCUUUCAUAUUGUCUGUGCUGGAGCUGCUCCGUGGGAUUGGUGAUCCUGUACGGGCCCAGGCUGACAGACCAUAAGGGAACAGUUCCCAUGCACAUGGGACUCCCAUACCACUCACAAUGACAGAGGACCAUAGCGAGGAAAAAGAAGAGCCUGGGGACAGCUUCUGGGACACACAGCAACCUCUGCUUAUAGGACAUGCCUUCCAGUCCUUUUACCUGCUUUGUUGCCAUCCUCUGGUACAUUCAAGUACCUUCUUACAUCCUUUUUAGGUUCUUGAGACCGGAACUAUACACAAUAUUCAAAGGAUAAAUAAGUCCUCAUUGACAGGUAGAAUACCUGUGCAUAUCACAGAUAUCUCUAUGAACGAGACGAGCAUACAAUAAGAUCAUUUCUAAAGAGUCAGAUGUAGACUAAGCUGACUGACAAAGUCUGGAUGCUUCGCAGCAUUCAUGGUGGUAAGAAUUAUCCAAAGAGAGAAUGUGAGUACCUACAACGAGUUUACUUUCUGGAUCCAGAUACCCUUUUUUUCUUUGCUACUUUUGAUAUUCUGUAUUCCUACAUAACCUGAAUAAAGUACUACAUACUCUUUUAUAUGGUUACCUU
rnacentral:lncRNA from 1 species